AUACGUACCUGACAGGACAGAUACAUGAUCACAAAGGUGGUACUCCCAGGGCGAGGCCUAUUCAUUGCACUCUGAAUGUGCUGAUCCCUGCAAUUUCUCCAAACGUGGGAAACUUGACUGCAUAACUUGUGGUAGUUGGGGACUGUGUUCACACUUUCCCCUG
ensembl:snRNA U1 U1 spliceosomal RNA